rnacentral:lncRNA from 1 species
AUUCAUUGGGUUUAAUUUGGUUAGUAUUAGUGCUAUUGGGAAAUCAGAGGCAGAUUAGAGUAGGCCCAACAAUAAUUAAACCCACAUGCAAUUCAGUCCACAAGCAGCUUAGUAAAGAGUAUUAAUACGCAGAAGGUACCGUGGAAAGAUUAGGCAAUUUCUAGUAAAUUCAGUUACAACUCCCUAAGUGAUUCUCUCUCAACCUAAUUCUCUCUUCUCUUCUCACCUCUAAUCGUCUUCUCUUCUCUUCUUUUAGGUUAUCAUGAAGUAAAU